CUCCGCUGAAGAAGGGCCCCGGGGGGCUGAUCGGGCUGAUGAAGGACGCCUUCCAGCCCCACCACCACCACCUCGGCCCCCACCAGCCCGGCGCCGUGGAUAAGAAGAUGGUGGAGAAGUGCUGGAAGCUGAUGGACAAGGAAAUCCCGGCGAGCGCUUGGUUUGUUUGGGAUCCUGGCGUUAUUUAUGGAGCGACCCGGGGAACGAGCAUCCAGAAAGGAGCAGAAACGUAAAAAUCUUCUGUUUUCCCCUC
rnacentral:lncRNA from 1 species